UGAAAAAGAAAGAUAAUGAUGAUCUGUGUGUUUGGAAGUCCAGAGGGACUGUUGGUGACAGAGCUCGUGGGGUCCCUGGGAGGACCAAGAACACAACCAAUCUUCCUCCGAAAAGGUAGGAGUGGGCAGAGGAAGGCAUGAAGAGUGGCUGCACUUCUACAUCUGAAGGUCAGAACACGAGAUCAAGCAACAUGUCUUUGCCAUUUUAAAUCGACAGCCUUCGAACCCCCAGAAGCGUUAACAUCAGAGGGCAAGACAGGAAACAAAGAACAAGCAUGUCGGCUGUGUGCUGAAUGGAAGAGCACCUCGCAGGAUCCUGGCUUUCUGCUUCUCUUGCCACAUACAAACUUUCAGAUCCUGAAACAUUACGUGGGUUGAAGGGAAUUGCUCUGCAGCACCUGAACUGUCAGCUUGGAGGUGGGUAGCUGAGGUGACUUGGCAGGACCUGCCUGUAAACAUCGGUUGUCAGCUCAUUCGCAAGGCUCAGCCAAAUAGAAGUGCGAGAUUUUGGCUUGGAUUUCACACUGAUGUUUCACAGAAAGGCAGCUCUGGUUCCAGGGCACCAGUAAAGAUUUCAACCCAUGUAUCUGCAGAAAAUUGCCAGAAACUGUCACAAAAUGAAAAAUGAGAGAAAGCCUGAUGGUCCUGCUAGGUUUCUAUAAGACACAGCAACACUAAAACUCAUCUCAUUAGAACAGAUUUUGUGAAAAUGAGAAAGGACAUUUCUAAACCAAGUGCUUUUCCUCUGAAUAAGAUUUAACCCAAAAUGAGGUUUGGGACUGGAAGAAGUGAUAACUUGGAAGAAAAGAUGUACAGAAGGAGUGCUUCCCCUGGAGUCUGUGUUCAAGUUCCUCCUCUAGUACUGCUUUGCAAGCCAUGUGGGAAAAGGGGAUGAAGGGAUGUAAACUUCAUGAAAGAAGAGGACUAUACUUUUUACCUCCAAAUAUGCCCAGAAUACUCAGUCAGCAUGUGGUGAAUG